CACGUAGGGCGCAAGCGUUGUCCGGAAUUAUUGGGCGUAAAGAGCUCGUAGGCGGUCUGUUGCGUCCGCUGUGAAAACCCAGGGCUUAACCCUGGGCUGGCAGUGGAUACGGACAGACUAGAGGUAGGUAGGGGAGAAUGGAAUUCCCGGUGUAGCGGUGAAAUGCGCAGAUAUCGGGAGGAACACCGGUGGCGAAGGCGGUUCUCUGGGCCUUACCUGACGCUGAGGAGCGAAAGCGUGGGGAGCGAACAGG
rnacentral:rRNA from 1 species